rnacentral:rRNA from 1 species
UACGAAGGGGGCUAGCGUUGUUCGGAAUUACUGGGCGUAAAGCGUGCGCAGGCGGCUUCUCAAGUCAGGGGUGAAAGCCCAGAAGCUCAACUCUGGAAUUGCCUUUGAGACUGAGUGGCUUGAGUACGAGAGAGGUGAGUGGAAUUCCCAGUGUAGAGGUGAAAUUCGUAGAUAUUGGGAAGAACACCGGUGGCGAAGGCGGCUCACUGGCUCGUAACUGACGCUCAUGCACGACAGCGUGGGGAUCAAACAGG